ensembl:rRNA 5S_rRNA 5S ribosomal RNA
GUCUACGGCCAUACCACCCUGAACGCGCCCAGUCUCAUCUGAUCUCAGAAAAUAUGAGCUCAGGGCUGGGGAUUUAGCUCAGUGGCAUAAACACCUGCCUUGCAAGCAGGCAGUCGUGAGUU